AUUGAACGCUGGCGGCAGGCUUAACACAUGCAAGUCGAACGAGUGGCGGACGGGUGAGUAAUGCUUGGGAAUCUAGCUUAUGGAGGGGGAUAACUACGGGAAACUGUGGCUAAUACCGCAUACUAUCGGAUGAACCCAUAUGGGAUUAGCUAGUAGGUGGGGUAAAGGCUCACCUAGGCGACGAUCUCUAGCUGGUCUGAGAGGAUGAUCAGCCACACUGGGACUGAGACACGGCCCAGACUCCUACGGGAGGCAGCAGUGGGGAAUAUUGCACAAUGGGCGCAAGCCUGAUGCAGCCAUGCCGCGUGUAUGAAGAAGGCCUUAGGGUUGUAAAGUACUUUCGGUAGCGAGGCGUUAACUACAGAAGAAGCACCGGCUAACUCCGUGCCAGCAGCCGCGGUAAUAC
rnacentral:rRNA from 1 species